ACUGACUAAUCCACAGGUUAAUGAUUUACCUGUUAUUUGACUGCUCUCAUUUGACUCUUGUGAAGAAAGUUUCCAUGAAAACCCUUGUGUCCGGGUUGCUUGGAAUGCAAGAAACUUCUGUCUUAUUCUUCCUGCUUACACCCAUUGAGAGAGUUAGAGGUUAUCAAGUGGGUAAAUUCAAACUCUCACUUAAGAAGACAUCUAUUAGAAUGCAGCAGGAGGGAGACCUGGCCCCUUGAUCAUGAGAGUGGAAGAACUGGCCAUGCCCCUCAAGGUCUGUAACACUCGCGAGUGCAGACCCUACACUUUGCCCGGUUGGCAUUUUAAUGAUGGCCCUGGUGAAGUAGGUGUGGGUGAGUCGGCUCUGAACUCAUGAAAGCAGGAGGACCUGUGCUGCUCUUUGCUACAUCGCCUGAAUUAGCCAUGGCAUUGAUGGAAAAUUCAACCUGGUGGGGAGGAUCAGGUAGAACUGAUGGGCUGAACAAUGCUGCUACCACCUAGGUACAGUAACAGGAUUUUAAGUUUUCUCACCAUGAACAUCCACCCCAUCUAGGAUCUGCUAGGGCAAGUGAAGGGGCCAGUCCUGCAGAUCCAAAGCUACAGGAUCUCCAUGAAACAGGACCAUAGCAAGAUAUUCAAGUCCCAGUGAUGGUCUAGCAUCAGCAUCUAUAGUAGAGAAGAAAUCAGAGGCCUUAAACAAGACCAUUGCUGCUUUC